GGAGCGGUAGUCCAGUCGGCAGUUUGCCGGUCCGAGACGCCGAGGCUCGCACAGUCGAGUCAUCGGUCCGCUCCGCCA
rnacentral:tRNA from 1 species